AUUGAACGCUGGCGGCAGGCCUAACACAUGCAAGUCGAGCGGAUGAAGGGAGCUUGCUCCUGGAUUCAGCGGCGGACGGGUGAGUAAUGCCUAGGAAUCUGCCUGGUAGUGGGGGAUAACGUCCGGAAACGGGCGCUAAUACCGCAUACGUCCUGAGGGAGAAAGUGGGGGAUCUUCGGACCUCACGCUAUCAGAUGAGCCUAGGUCGGAUUAGCUAGUUGGUGGGGUAAAGGCCUACCAAGGCGACGAUCCGUAACUGGUCUGAGAGGAUGAUCAGUCACACUGGAACUGAGACACGGUCCAGACUCCUACGGGAGGCAGCAGUGGGGAAUAUUGGACAAUGGGCGAAAGCCUGAUCCAGCCAUGCCGCGUGUGUGAAGAAGGUCUUUGGAUUGUAAAGCACUUUAAGUUGGGAGGAAGGGCAGUAAGUUAAUACCUUGCUGUUUUGACGUUACCAACAGAGUAAGCACCGGCUAACUUCGUG
rnacentral:rRNA from 1 species